GCUGGCGGCAGCCCUUACACAUGCAAGUCGAGCGAGAAAGUUUCUUCGGAAACGAGUAAAGCGGCGGACGGGUGAGUAACGCGUAGGAAUCUACCAUUCAGUGGGGGAUAGCUCGGGGAAACCCGAAUUAAUACCGCAUAUACCCUAAGGGGGAAAGAGGGCCUAUCCUUGGAAGCUCUUGCUGUUUGAUGAGCCUGCGUGAGAUUAGUUUGUUGGUGAGGUAAUGGCUCACCAAGGCUACGAUCUCUAGCUGGUCUGAGAGGACGAUCAGCCACACUGGGACUGAGACACGGCCCAGACUCCUACGGGAGGCAGCAGUGGGGAAUAUUGGACAAUGGGGGCAACCCUGAUCCAGGCAUGCCGCGUGUGUGAAGAAGGCCUUCGGGUUGUAAAGCACUUUAGGUAAGGAAGAAAAGUCAUUGGUUAAUACCCAAUGACCAUGACAUUACUUACAGAAUAAGGACCGGCUAACUCCGUGCCAGCAGCCGCGGUAAUACGGAGGGUCCAAGCGUUAAUCGGAAUUACUGGGCGUAAAGCGCGCGUAGGCGGUUUGACAAGUUGGGUGUGAAAUCCCCGGGCUUAACCUGGGAACUGCAUUCAAAACUUUUAAACUGGAGUACGGGAGAGGAGAGUAGAAUUCAUGGUGUAGCGGUGAAAUGCGUAGAUAUCAUGAGGAAUACCAAUGGCGAAGGCAACUCUCUGGACCGUAACUGACGCUGAGGUGCGAAAGCGUGGGUAGCAAACAGGAUUAGAUACCCUGGUAGUCCACGCCGUAAACGAUGACAACUAGCCGUUGGACUUUCGGGUUCAGUGGCACAGCUAACGCAUUAAGUUGUCCGCC
rnacentral:rRNA from 1 species